CAGCCGCCGCGGUAAUACCGGCGGCCCGAGUGGCGGUCACUAUUAUUUGGCUUAAAGCGUCCGUAGCCGGGUUGGGAAGUCCUCCGGGAAAUCUGGCCGCUUAACGGUCAGAAUGCCGGAGGAUACUCCCAGCCUAGGGAGCGGGAGAGGCCGAGGGUAUUCCCGGAGUAGGGGGGAAAUCCUAUAAUCCCGGGAGGACCACCUGCGGCGAAGGCGCUCGGCUGGAACGCGUCCGACGGUGAGGGACGAAGGCCAGGGGAGCAAACCGGAUUAGAUACCCGGGUAGUCCUGGCUGUAAACGAUGCGGACUUUGUGUCGGACAAGCUAUGAGCUUGUCCGGUGCCGGAGGGAAACCGUUAAGUCCGCCGCCUGGGGAGUACGGCCGCAAGGCUGAAACUUAAAGGAAUUGGCGGG
rnacentral:rRNA from 1 species